GACGCCAAUUCGGUUGAAUUAUGAAGGACGCAUCCAAAUAUAAUCUUGGCUCUGGUUCCACGGCCACGGUGGUUCUAACAGUAGAUGGCCAAUUUUUAGUUGCCAAUGUUGGGGACUCUAAGGCUUUUUUGUGCUCUGAAAAAUUUCAAUCCCCUGAAGAUGCUAGAGCUACUUUCUUGAGGUUAUACAAGCGGAAAAGGCGUGAUGGGACUCCUUUAUCUUUAAAGGAAAGUGCAGACUUGAAGUUGAAUACUUUGUAUGGUAUGACCCAUCUUUCUGUUCAAGAAUUAACUCGUGACCAUCAUCCGGAUAGGGAUGAUGAAAGGUCUCGAGUAGAAGCUGCUGGUGGUCAUGUUCUCGUAGGGGGUGGUGUCGCUCGUGUAAAUGGCCAACUUGCUGUUUCACGAGCUAUUGGUGACGUAAACUUUAAAAGUUCUGGUGUAAUAUCUGUGCCGGAGGUUAUGGAUUGGCAUGCUUUGACCUCCAACGACAGCUUUCUAGUAGCUGCAUCUGACGGUGUGUUUGAAAAGCUGAGUCCACAGGACGUUUGUGAUAUAUUGUGGGAAGCAAAAAGUGAUGACACCACAGGAUCGGAGAUAUCUUCUUCAUGUUCAUACUUGUUAGCUGAUUGUAUAGUGAAUACUGCCUUUGAGAAGGGCAGUAUGGAUAAUAUGGCUACCAUUGUUGUCCCUCUGCAGUCUACUGAUUUAUCUCAAAACCUGCAAAGUAGAAGUCUCGUUGAAUGGCAACAUAUGCAUGCAACUCUGGGAGAGGAGAAGCAUGCAUAUAAGCAAUCAGAAAUGGACAUGACAUCUGAGAUCAUUCACUUGGAGAAUGCUUAUCCAGUUAUGGCCAAAUUUGAAAGGCUAAUGGUUGAGGUAAAACAUGGAAGUUUCUGUUGUUUUUAUUUAGCUGAGCCUCUCAAUGAAAUUACUUACUCUACAUCUCAAGUUAGGAAUGAUGACUGGAAGGACAGUGCAUGUGACCUUCCUCAAGCUCUACCUGAUGCCCUUAGCAAACACAGUGGUGAAACGCUGAAUUCACAUGGUGACCAGUGUUCAUGGUCGCAUUUUGGAAUGACUGUUAGUUCAGUGCAAGGUCAAUGUACAAAUCCCGAAAGCUUUGCUAGUUUCCUCGGUUUGCUUGAAUCGAUUUCGUUCCAUAAUACGGAUGCAUCAAACGAGCACACAGUGCCCAACUCAAGAUAUGUCCUUGAGAAGAGGUUUGGGCGAGGAUCAUUCGGUGAAGUAUGGUUGGCUUUUCACUGGAAUUGUUGUGAAGAAAGCAGUUCCUUUGACUGGAGUCAGCAAUUAAAGAAUGUUUCCUCUGAUGCUAUGCUGUCUGGGUCAUCUAGCAGACAAUUUUUUAAUAGCUCAUCAACUCACAACUACAGCAAUGCCGCAGAUAACUUGUUCAUUUUAAAGCGCAUAAGGGUAGAGAAAGGCCUUGCCGUGUACUUAAGUGGACUACGGGAGAAGUAUUUUGGCGAAGUAUUUCUCAAUGCUUCUAAGUCCCUUGAAGACAUUUCAAGGGGAGCAGAGGACAUUAUUUCCAAAGAAUCAAAGUCAAGAUUUUCGGAAAAGUCAGAAAUUAUUAAGUCAGCUGCUCAUGAGACACAGAAAUCAAGGACCUUGGUUAGUAGUUUGCCAAACAGAUUUAGUCAGAGAAGGGACUUUUAUGAAGAAGGAUUGGACCAUAUUGCUAGAUAUGUAGAGUCAUUUGAGUCACGCUCCAACGAUAUAUGGCUUGUGUUCCGUCACGAAGGUGUUUCCUUGUCAAAGCUUCUAUACACUGUCGAAGAAGUAGAGGAGAGAGGUGAUGAUGGGAUUGAAGCCAGAAAACAUGCCCAGGUAUUGCGUCCAUCAAAAUGGUGGCACUGGUUGAAAACUACAGAAGCGGGACAGAAGGAAAUGUGCAACCUUAUAUGGCAAUCGUUGUUGGCGCUCAAAGCCUGUCAUGACCGUAAUAUCACUCAUAGGGAUAUUAAACCUGAGAACAUGGUGAUAUGCUUUGAGGAUCUGGAAACUGGGAGAUGUCUGAGAGGACCUCCAAAUGGAGACGAGAAUUAUAACACCAAAAUGCGCAUUAUUGACUUUGGGAGUGCAAUAAAUCAGUUCACUCUGAAGCAUCUGUAUGGAUCAGCUGGCCCUUCAAGAGCUGAACAAACUACAGAAUAUACGCCUCCUGAAGCCUUGCUAAAUGAAACAUGGUAUCACGGACCAACUGCUGCGAAGUAUGAUAUGUGGAGUGUUGGUGUGGUCAUGUUAGAGUUGAUACUAGGGUCACCAGAUGUUUUCCAAAUCAAUGCUUUAACCCGUACUCUUUUGGAUCAACAUCUUGAGGGAUGGAGUGAAGGUUUAAAGCAGUUGGCAUAUAGACUUAGAUCGUUUAUGGAGAUGUGCAUCUUAAUCCCAGGUAGUUCCUUGAAACAUCGAUUUGGUGGUGCAAUGGACAAGAGUGGAGUUUCACCGGCUUCCUGGAAAUGUUCAGAAGAGUUUUUCUCACAUCAAGUGAAGAGCAGAGAUCCUCUUAAGAUUGGCUUUUCAGAUGUUUGGGCUCUGCGAUUGGUUCGUCAUCUCUUAAUGUGGGAUCCCGAUGACCGACUCAGUGUCGAUGAAGCUCUGCAACAUCCUUACUUUGAGACUUUGCGCAGGACAUGAAUCAUGGGAAGCCUUGAACAUCUGAAAUAUAAACUUAUGGACUCCUGUUAUCAGAGGGGUAUGGACUGCCCUCAUGGUCUACUGAUUUUUUUAUGCAUAAAUCUGAAAAUAUUCAUAAUGGUAAUCUGCUUCACCAUUCCAUUUUCUUGACUGCUUCUACCAGUAGUAUGUGAUUUUUUAUUGUCAAGACGUACGGGAACACAAGCAGGGAAAUAGCUUUGCAGCUGCAAAAGGAGAUUAAUAUGUUCAUUCCCUUGCGGACGUCACGGUAAGGCAAGGCAAACAGUUUCCAGCAACUUCAGGACAAUUCUGUCGACAUCCUCACUGCUUAUUUAAAACACCCAUGAUGUUCCUGAUACGUUCUCGUCAUUAUAGUUUUCUAUAGAUUGUUACAUGAGCGUGCGCCUUUGUAUAACUCAGUCUUUCAUUUCUUUCCUUUUUUGCUUUUAUUUUUUGGUGG